CAUAGCAUAGCUUAAUGUAAAGCAUCCCGCUUACACCGGGAAUAUAUCUGUGAAACUCUGAUUACUAUGAG
rnacentral:tRNA from 1 species